GAUAUAUUUUUCCAGUUUAUUUUCCAUGAUCUUUGCGUCGAUUGAUUUGACAUCAUAUUAGGAUAUGUUGUGUUUAACAAAGAGAUAAAGAAAAUGUAAAUGUUGGUCCCGAUGCAUGUCAUUGUUGGAAGGAGGAUACCCUUUUGAUAAUUUUUUUUUUUUAUUUUUUAACCUUUCUGGUUUUAUCGAAACGAAGGAAAGAUCAGACAGAAGAAAUAAUUGAAUAAUUUUUAUUUGGCAAGUCGAAGAUGACACGAGCGAAGGAAGGCGUAUAACCUUUCGAAUAGCAGCCGGGCUCAUAUUUAUGAUGAAAUCGGGUCAGUGUCGACCCAAGGCUAAUGACUUGUAUGUCCUAAAUAGGCAAUAACAUGUAUCGUGCGUUUGCAUUAAUUUUUGGAUGAACAACGUUUGGGAAACAAUUUAAGGAAUUUUUAUAACCGAAUCAGAUAUGUACAUAAGUGAUUGAUAAUACAAAGAAAAAAAAAAAUUUUUACAAUUACAAUUUUUAGAAAAGAUUCAUAAAUUCGUAGCAAAAAUUAUUUUUAGAAGAAGCAAAUUCUUUUGCAAUUAAUUUCGAACACGCUUAUGUCACAGAACAAUCUGAUUUUUUAAACUAAAAGUCUGUGGAAUUCGACCGGACAUUCUUGACGUUCAUGGUUGCUCGCUGUCGACGAAUAUUAAUUCCUGGUUGUGACGUCAAUACAUAUGCCUGAAAGACAGAUUUCCAAGUAACAACAUACAUCUUUUGACUGUCGACCUCUUACUUGAUGAAAGAAAAGGGAAUAAUUACUCCAUACAGAACAGGACCCAAUCGGGAACCUAUGUCAAGCACAAACUUCCCUUGUAAACUUGGUAAAAUGCUGUGAAAUAUAUACAGCACAGCAGACAGUGACAAUGAGUGCGAGAUAAUAUCUAAAAGCAAAUCCACUUCGUCUUAAUAGAAGCAAUGAUCAAAGAGACAUCGCAUAAUUUCGUUUGCAAUGCAAUAUGAAAUGUAAAAACAGUUAGAGAGAUUAAAGCUUUCCUUACUAUAUUGCCUCACAUUUUCAGACAAACAGUCAGCACAAUAUAUGUUAACCACCUCCCCAUUUUCUAUAAGUUCAUCUAGCUUUCUAUUGUCGUAGAGAAACGCGUCGACGUGUUUCGUUGACUCCUUGUCGCAAUCCGAGUUCUGCAGAAUUACACAACUUGAGACAUUUCUUUCUCAUAAGAGAACACUUGAAGAAUUGAAAUAUACAUAGCUCUACUUGUUUGCACAAAAUAUCAGACCUCGCCGAUCGUUGGUGGUAGAAUUUCUUCCAACGGAAACGUUCCAUCCAUUGGUACUCGUUUUCUAAUGUCGUUGGCGAUCAUUUUUAUAAUUUUUACUUGUUUAUCUUCUACAGUACAUUCCGAAGACUCCUGCAUCGUAUCCCCCGUGAAAGGCUGUGACUUUAUUUGCUCUGGUUUCCAUUUAUCAGCGAUGUACGACAAAAACACAUUUUUAUCGGUGACACUUAAAGAACACAUGACAGACGUAAAUAUUUUUAUAGCAUUAUCUAUGGUGAUAGUAUCGACGGUAUCCAUUAUGUAAUCUCUUCGCUUAAUUAUAGGUUAUGUCGACAAUUUUAUAUUCGAGGUUCUCACACUGGAAACAAUCAGACGUUAAUCGAGGCGGGUCCGGAUGUUCGUUUCAGCGUGUUUAUUAGAAAAAAAAAAAAAAUUAAGUACACAAAAUGUCGAUACGCAUACAUAGGUGUAUAUAAAUAAUUAGCCUUAACGCUAACGGUUUUGCAUAGGCAAGAUAUAAGGCACAAAGUAUGUUUCAUCUUCGUUUCAAAUUCAACCUUUCCUAAUAUAUAUACAAGACACUCGUCCUCGUCUCUGUUUGUAAAUUUCGAUUUCUGUUUCUU